rnacentral:lncRNA from 1 species
UCUUGGAUGCCACGGGACUGCUGCCACUGCUCCUCUCUCCAUGGUGUCGCCGGUGGUGGGAGCUUCCUCUGAGGAUGAUAUCCAGGCAGAGAGGCAAGCUAUGAAGGAGAUGAAGUCUUGGGCUUGAGAAGAAGCCCAGCCCAAGCAUGUUGAUGGAGCCAUGCCAUCUCAAAUAAGUGGGCUGUGAGGGGAAAUGAUGCCUUGGGCUUGCCUAUGGUGGGAAUGGAUUUGGGCUUAAGUUGUUUUAUUUUUAAAGUUAUUUUUAAAAACUUAUUAAAUUUUAAUUUUACUAGUAAAUAAUAGAAAUUAAAAUAAUGAACUUGUGCCACAAGUUUGUGAGAGAAGUAAACUUUGGUUAUGGAGCAUCCAAUGCUCUGGUUGCUUCCACGAGAGGUCAUUGCUGUCGUCAGCCCUGGUCAACUAAGUACACUGGUCCACUCCAUGAAAUAUAUUUAUGUUAUUUUUUAUUUUAAAUUUUUGUUAGGAGAACUCUUCGCUAUGAGAAAAAAACACACUCUCAAACGUGGGAGAUUGUCAUAAAAAAAAUAAUAAUAAAUACGGGGUGAUCUCACCACUUACAUAUCUCCUCCGUCAUAAAACCAGAAUCAUUGAAUAUGGUUCUAGCUUUAUGGCUUGAUUAAAAUUUACAAUUUUUUGUUUGUAUUAAAAUAAAAUAGAUAUAUAUUUUUUCAUAAAAAAAAUCAUAUUAAAUAUUUUAUUUUAAUUUUAAAAUAUUUUUAUAGUUCUUCUCUUAAUAGAUAAAGACAAAAGAUUUAUACUCUAUUUAGUAAUUAUUUUUUGAAAUAAUUUUCUGUUUUUGAAAACCAAAAAAGAAAAAAAAAAAACAAGAAAACAAGAAAACAAAUUUGACAAUUUAAAAAAAAAAAAUUGAUCUUAAAAGCAAAAAUAUGGUAUUUUUGAAAACAUAUUUUAUUGGUUUUCACUUGAUUUUUUUAUGGUUAUUUAAAAAGUAAACAUGCAACAUAAAGAGUGAUUAAAAAUAAAACAUUACACAUAAAAUUUAUUAUUAAAAUAUAUUUAAAAAUAUAGAAAACAACUUAAAAAUAUUUCUAUUCCAAAACAAAUUUUUGGUCUAUAAAAUAUCAAAAAAGAAAUUUCAAAAACUAUUUUUAAAAAUUUAUUUUUCAGAAUUGUUUUAAAAAUAAGUACACCAUAUAUAUAUAUAUAUAUAUAUAUAUAUUAUGUAUGUGACUCAUUUGCUCUGAUUGGACAUGAUCUUCCAUUUUUGUAGGCCUAGGCUGACAUAAAGGGCUUUCACUUUUUUUAUGGGCUUGAGGCUUUCACAUAUCCCAUUCUACAUCCUAGAACCCUACGUACAUCAAUUGAAAAAAUAGAUACAUCGUAUUGAAAAAUAAGCACAUCUUAAAAAAUAAGUACAUCUAUACUUGACUCAUUUGUCCUAUUUUGGACAUGAGCUUUCAUUUUUAUAACUGACUCAUUUGGCCAAUUUUUUGAGGUCUUUGCAUAUCCCAUUUUGCAUAGAAGAACUUUGGGUAUAUCCUUCAGAAAAAAUAAAUACAUCAUAUUGUAAAAAUAAGUACAUUCCCUUAAAAAAUAAUUGGUACAUAUUAUUUUCAUUGUAUAGGUGACUUGUUUGGCUUAUUCUUGUUUGGAAUGUCUUAUCCAACUUGUUUUAAUACUUGUUUAUGUAACAUGAAACGAUGGAAUGGACUAGAAUCUCCCCUGUGACAUUUAGUCAACUUCAAAUAUCUUAGUAACUCUAGUUAGAAUUGUUGAUUUGGUCAUCUAUUUGAACUUUUAUGCACCCUAAUAUCUUGUCUAUUAUAUGGUAGAUAGCUUUAGAAAAUGUCCAUUUUCUUUUUGAUAUGUAAAUUUUUGUCCUCAUCUGGAACCUCCUACAAACCCUUUCCAAUCCUUUACCACUUGGGCAAGCCUCAAAUGGUACCAUUAAAGUGAUAAGCUUUAGAAGAUGUCCUUAUCACUCUUUACUUCAAUUUUUCCUAGGUUUUUGCCAUUUCUAAGGAUGAAGCAACCAAAAUCCCUAAAACUUUUAAAAUUAGGCUUCUUUUAUUGUAAAGAGUUUGAGUAGCAUCAUUUCUAUCGUAAAUCUAUUAAUUAUGUAAUAAGUUGUAUUAACUUCCUCUACUCAAAACUGUUAAACUAAGCCAUUUCCAUUAAGCAUCAUGGAUGCCAUAUGUUGAAGAGUUAUACUUUCUCUUUGUAAAUCUAUUUUGUUAUUAGUUUCUUGUAGGUUUUUAAAGGCAUAUGUACAUUAGAAGUUACUCAUUCAUUCAAUCCUUCCAUCUCCAAAGAACAUGAUGCUUCCUUCAUAUUCAAGAAGGCUUGUAAAUUUUGUUUCAUCACUGAGUUAAGCAACUAUGAUAAAUAAAUAAAUAAAUAACAGUAUGAGUUUUCUUCUAUUACCCAAAUUCUAUGAAAUUAUUUAGAAGCUCUUUUUGGGGUAAUUCAAUUUUCUGCUUUGUUCAAGGGGCUUUUUAUUUUCUUUCAUUUUAUUUUGAAAAUCAUUAGGUUUUCUUUUCUUGAUUCCCUUUUCCGCUGUCCUGUUAAUCUGCAUUGAUAUUGUUUAUCUCAAUUAACGAUAACAUAACAAAAAAUACUUUUAUUUAAGUACGAUCUUUGUUAGAGAACAUGAUAUAUAUUAUGAGUCCAAAUCUUAAUGAUACGAGCUUUUAGAAAAAUUGGUUUUGUCCAUAAGAUAUUAAAAUGUCAUUUAGUGAAAGAUCAUGAGUUUGAAUAUGUUUAUUUCUCUAAUUAAGCUUUUAAUUUUGUUUUUAAUAUAUAGGUUUAUGAGUUUGUUUUAAUACUUGUUUAUGUGACAUGAAACGAUGGAAUGGUAGUUAAAAACUCUUUUAUUUCUUUAAUACAAGAACACAGCUCAGCAAACCCACCAACCCUCAGAAAGGGAUUUCAACCGGAAAGAUUAACGAUACAAUUUCAAAGAAAAAACUUAAGCAAACAGCCAAACACUCAUAUAUAUCAUCUAAUAUUAACUAAACAACACUACUCAAUAGCCCAUGAUGUUUCCCUUUUACUCUAUACCAAGCUUCUUUCUUCUCCCCACAACAUAUCCAUGGACCUUGUGCGGGUCUUCAAGAGAAGACGACACGCUCUCCUUUUCCAUGCACCUCUUGGUCCAAGCUACCAACUUGGGGCACUCCGCCUCUAUGCUGAAGUUGCCAAAGGUCUCGUAUGCAUAAAACCAGCAAGAGAAGGUCACCAGAGCCACAUCCACAAACCCAAUUUUUUCACCGCCGAAGUAUGGCUUCUCUCCAAGCUCUCCUUCCAAAAGCUUGAGGCACUCUGUGAAUUCCUUCUUGCCUGUUUCCUGCUCUUCUCCUUUGGUUGACCAUAUCUUCCCUCCAAGUUCAUAGAGCUGUGGGAAACAAUAAAGUCAAAGAGAGAAAAGGGUUAUUUUUUUUGAGCAUUUCAUCAAGUUUCAACUUUCCGUAUAGUUGGACAAGUUUAUUAAGGACCCUUCAGCAUAGAAAUCUCAUAUACUAGGAACAAAUUAAAUGAAGGGCCGGUGGAAGCAAAAUAUCAGAAGGGAAUGUGUGAAGAAGGAGAAACCCAGCAUUUUGGACAAAUCCCUCACCAUUAUCAAACAAAAAAACAAAAAAAACAAAACAAAAGAAAAUGCUUUAAAUCAACAGCAAAGACAUACCUUCUUGUCUACGUAGUCCGCCCAGAACCUGGCCUGAGCUCUCUGGUAUGGGUCACUAGGCAACAAUGGAGAUUUAUCCUUCCAAACCUCAUCAAUAUACUGAACUAUUAUCAGAGACUCACAAAUGGGCUUUCCAUUGUGGAUCAGAACCGGGAUUUUCUUAUGAACUGGGUUCAUCUCAAGCAGCAGAGGGCUCUUGUUCCUCAAGUCCUCCUGUCUAUAUUCAUACUUGAGGCCCUUCUCUGCCAGGGCAACUCUGACCCUCAUACCAAACAUGCUAGGCCAGAAAUCCAACAAGAUAAUCUCGUCUGCCAUUGCUACUACUGUGAUCGAUAAGAUUCAAACUCAGUUAUUCAAGUAUUGAUGAACAACACAAGGGAAAUUGUCAAGUAUUUAUAGCAAAUCCCAGGGAGUGGGUUAAAAC